rnacentral:snRNA from 1 species
AUAGUAGAUCGCAAACCAAAAA